UGUCACGUGUGAUCCUACACUUUACAGUCACCCCCUGAGGGGCGGGCCUCAGAGUGAACUCCUCCAGGUCGUCCACGUCGAUGGCAGGCUCGCUGGCCGGGGGAGUGGGGGCGGAGGCCGCUUCCUGGGCGCGGUGACUUCACAAUGGGCGUUAACAGCCGCGCAACACGUUUGGCCUACAUAUGCGGGACUCCGGCACAGCAGCAAGAACGAAAGUGGAUUUACCUACAGCUACUGGAAUGCUGAAGCUUUGCCAUGUUGAGAGCAUUACCUCUCCAUCUUAAAGGGCCAUAACUACAAUAUCUGCGCCCCGGGAGAAAAUGUUACCUUGAGCCCCUCCCACUCCUGAUGUCAUACAUGAUGUCAUUGUGAGCACAUGCAUAUGCAGAAUCUGGACCUGACCGCUGGGGUCCUGGGCCUCAUCCUGGAGACCCGCCGGGCCAUCGAUUCCUGCCGUAUCACAAUGCCUUCAGCUACUUGGUAGGACAAUGGCUCGCAUACACUGCUCCUACACAACGGCGGAUGCAUUUAUAUACGUACAGGACCUACCACAUCCAUGCGCAAAGCGUUUCACAAACACAGUGGUGUUUAUAUACAUGCACAAGCGAACACAGACAGGUACACACACUGCACUCUAUGCUGAACACUAAGUCAUUACCCCUUUUCAUAAACUCUGUGGUACUUAAUUUUCCACCAUACCUCCUGUUAAAAAUGUCCUCCAUUAACACAACAAGGCAUGGCCACCCUACCAGACAAACACCCACAGAAGUAACCCAGCUCCCUCUAGGACCCAGACGCCUCCGCCAAAGGAGGCCGCUCCCCCACAGCCUCCCACAUCAGGUUUUCUAUUUCCCUUUUAAGCUCCAGUACGUAUCGGGCACCCGUCUCAUUUUCAUUCAAUUAGCCCGAAUGCGAGGCAGAACAUGACAUCCCUGAUGCUGCAGGCUGCCGCGAGCACUGACGAUAAGCCAGUCUGCUCACACAGACGGAAAAAGCCAGGUUAUCAAGCUUCAAAGACGAGGACUCCUUUCCGCUCUGUUAGUGAGACUGGCCUUGUGGCUGUUCCACUGAACAGCUUCUGACAAUCCUGCCUCAACAAGUCACCCAUUAACAUAAAAAUAACGCAAAAACAACUAAUCAAUACAUGUACGCUCCACCUGCUUCCCUCCUGUAUGGCGUUACCAGCCAAGAAUAUGCUUCCCAGUACAGCUAAACACAACCCAACGGUGAAGUAGCAACAAAUCCCAGUCACAUUCAGCCAAGGUGUGUGCGUGAGCACUGUGCCCCCUACACAUAAUACACAGGGACGCUGACCCAUACACAGAACAGCAAAACUUAGUUGGCUUACAGGACACGCGGCGUUAAGAGGAGAUCGAAGCAGGAGCAACACAGGAGCUGAGGGUAAGCUCCAUGUGGGAGUGAGCUGCAAAGGGGGGAUUUGAUCCAGCAACCUUCUGGUUGCCCUGUGUACUACUUUCUGUCUCUUUACCCAUAAGAAAACAUGCCUGGUUUACAAAGAGUACAAUUCUGACAUCUAUAAUAAGUGGCGUGUUAUAUGUCAUGGUCAAUUAUUGCAGAGGAGACCUCUUCCACAGCUUCCUGGGCCUCUCGUGCAUAUUCUCCCCUCUUGUCUCCUUCUGAGAUCUGCACUCUGACUGCCAGGAGCAAUGGAGGCACUGUGCCUCCUCCAGGAGCGAAAGGCAGGGGAGGCCCUGAGCUUCCCCACCAGAACGGGUCUUCUAGAGGCACGACAGCUUUAUCUGAACAAAUCCAGGUCGUAGAUGAGAGGGACGGAGGAAAAAAAAAAAGAAGAAAAGACAGCAGAAGAAAAGAAUGUAACUGACAAAACGGAAAU